rnacentral:rRNA from 1 species
GUGGCGAACGGGUGAGUAACACGUGAGUAACCUGCCCUUGACUCUGGGAUAAGCCUGGGAAACUGGGUCUAAUACCGGAUAUGACUCCUCAUCGCAUGGUGGGGGGUGGAAAGCUUUUUGUGGUUUUGGAUGGACUCGCGGCCUAUCAGCUUGUUGGUGAGGUAAUGGCUCACCAAGGCGACGACGGGUAGCCGGCCUGAGAGGGUGACCGGCCACACUGGGACUGAGACACGGCCCAGACUCCUACGGGAGGCAGCAGUGGGGAAUAUUGCACAAUGGGCGAAAGCCUGAUGCAGCGACGCCGCGUGAGGGAUGACGGCCUUCGGGUUGUAAACCUCUUUCAGUAGGGAAGAAGCGAAAGUGACGGUACCUGCAGAAGAAGCGCCGGCUAACUACGUGCCAGCAGCCGCGGUAAUACGUAGGGCGCAAGCGUUAUCCGGAAUUAUUGGGCGUAAAGAGCUCGUAGGCGGUUUGUCGCGUCUGCCGUGAAAGUCCGGGGCUCAACUCCGGAUCUGCGGUGGGUACGGGCAGACUAGAGUGAUGUAGGGGAGACUGGAAUUCCUGGUGUAGCGGUGAAAUGCGCAGAUAUCAGGAGGAACACCGAUGGCGAAGGCAG